rnacentral:rRNA from 1 species
ACGCUCGACACCUACGGGGGCAGCAGUCGGGAAUAUUGCGCAAUGGAGGGAACUCUGACGCAGUGACGCCGCGUAUAGGAAGAAGGUUUUCGGAUUGUAAACUAUUUUAGACAGGGAAGAAUAAAGACAGUACCUGUAGAAUAAGCUCCGGCUAACUACGUGCCUGCAGCCGCGGUAAUCUGAGCGGGCUGGCAAGGC